rnacentral:lncRNA from 1 species
CCGGGAUAAUUGUAACUCAUUUAGGAGACCAGUAAGGAUUUCCAUGAGGACCCUCCUUGUCCAUGGUAGCCCACAGUUUUGCUGAAAGGCAGUUAUCAAUUGUGAAAUGAAGGAACAUCCCCACAGAUGGUUACAGAAGUGUUCUGCUCUCCUUUAGCGUGCUAAUAUUUCUUUGGUGUGAUGUUUUGUUCUGCACUACCUGUAACACCAUGCUUUGUUUGCCAUGAUUCAAACCAUUUGUUUCACUCAAUUCUCAGUACUGUGUUAUUUUCAGGAUCUGUUGCUGAACACUGGGAGACAUCCUAUAGGACAAAUUUAAAAAAGAUAAACAGUCACUCUAAUUCAAGAGGGAGGAAGAAGUCCGUAGACAGCAUUUUAAAUGUGCUUGGCACAUUUUCAUCCCAAGGGGUGCAAGUAGCGGAAAAAUCUCUCGAUCAGAUUCUGCCACUUCUGUUCUCAAAAGAUGGUGCACAGGACCUGUGGGAGACCCACUGCCUUACAGUGCUCCAGGUGACCUCCGGAAUGGCAGCUAUGGCCAGGCAGGACACAAUAGGGGCGCUCUGCAAAUCAAGGAAAGGUGACAUGACGAAGGUUUCCAGGGACAUAACGCUUCUGACACCAACCUUUGCAUAGAGUCAUUGCCUUCAAGUGGUGAUGGAGCAGGUAGUGUUUGUCCAUUGUUUCUUUAUUGUGGUGGCAUCUUCCCCUUGGUUCAGUGAUAUCUGGGGAAACUGAAUGAAUGAUGAAGCCUGUGCCUUUCUACCACGCUAAUACCCUGAGAGUAUUACAAUUAUAAUUAUAAUGCCUGAACUAUGUUGGUUUCAGUAAUCUAUUAAUUACACCGUUAGCAAUUGGGAAUGAAGCCUGAGGUUUUCAUUUUCUUAGCGGUUCCCAAAUCCCCUUCUUGUACUACCUAUUCCCAAGCAAUAGCUUUAGGCUCCUGAACUGAUGGCUUAGGUGGAAAUCCAGAG